rnacentral:tRNA from 3 species
GGCCGGGUGGCGGAAUUGGUAGACGCGCACGACUCAAAAUCGUGUGAGGCUAAUACCUCAUGAGGGUUCGAGUCCCUCCCUGGCCACAA